rnacentral:tRNA from 1 species
GUGUGUGUAGCUCAGUGGAUAGAGCAUCCCUCCAGGUUGAGGCAGUCAUGGGUUCAAAUCCCAUUGCACACA